rnacentral:rRNA from 1 species
GUUUGAUGCUAGGGCCUUCUUUUUAGCAAAUAUCGUAGGGCCUUCUCUGGGAAGGCCAAAAGCUCGACAGCCACUGACCUAGUCAAUAGUGACUGUACCAACUCCGUGUCUUUAAAACCAGAGGUUUUCUCAUGUGUUGUCGUCGGCAGAACCUGGGAGAAAUAAGGUGCAGCGUCUCAUAGUGUAACCCCCCUCCACCGGCCGCCGCCGCUACACUCACCAGCUAACCUCACCAUUUCAGGUAGCAUAUGAGCAGAGAAAGCUUGGGCAAGAACUCCAAGAUCAUGGGUGGCCGUGAAAGAAAAGAAGUUAAUAGCACCGCAAAGCAUUUUGUUGAUUUCACAGAAGCAGAGGAAGAUCUUGUUUUCAGAAUGCACAGGCUUGUCGGGAACAGGUGGGAACUUAUAGCUGGAAGAAUCCCCGGAAGAACAGCAGAAGAAGUAGAGAUGUUCUGGGCAAAAAGGCACCAGGACCAAUGAAAAUGAAAACAGGAUGCAUGCAGUAAACUAGAUUGACAUAUAGGAUGCAUUUUCAUGUCCAUCAAAAACCUGUGUUGAUCUUACUCGUCCUAUCUUCUCAGCCAUGCUAAAAAGCAACUUGUUCUGUACCAAGCAUGGAUGUACAUAAGAAAACCUCAAGAAAAAGGAGGAACAUGUGCUCAAUAAACAAAAAUAUGAAUUCGCUUUGUUCCAGGAUUAUUCUAACAUUUCGUACUAAUUACAUCACAUGUUAAAUGGCCACAGUGACUAUAAAGUCGCAGAUUGACCAAAAAAGUAGACACUGCAUGAUCACAUAACCAUAUAUUUGGUUGGGGAACUAAUUCCAAAUGUAAAUCACAUAUCAAUGCAUCACAGAGAAGUUACAACAUGCAAGAAACAAUAGGAGAUGUCCAUCAUAUGGUAGGAAGAUGUAUAUCUCUGUGCAAAACUAGAACAUAGUUGACUGUUGUUACUGUAUAUCUGUAACUGCACUCGUAAGGAAGCUUGACAUAUCACAAAGUUUCCAUGUAAGAAGUUAUCCGCUAUCAGAUAAUAAUUCAAAUGCUAAAAGAAUAGCGCUCACAAUGCAUACAACAAAGAGACAUGCGAUUAUCUUUUUAAUACUUCACAUCAGAAGUUGUUUAAGUUUAACUGGCAUUGUUCAGAAAAUAACAUUCAUAAACAGAUAUUCCUAGAGAACAUCAAAAAAGUAGUCCAAACCUUGUCCAAUUUCCCAGAUUGAAAGCCCUGCCCCCCAAUCUUGCGCUUCAUCCAAACGUACAGAAAGAGACAACAGCGUCGGAUAAAAUACAGCAUGCCUCACACCUUUAUCCGAAUAUAUAAAAAAAUGCUCUGAACUUUUGUCAUCCCAUUGCAAAGAUGGCUUGUACUUCUCAAGUAAAUGAAUGAAAUCUCUUCCAGUAAUAGAACCACCACCACCACCUGUGUAUGUAGAUUAAUAAGACACAAUAAUCCCAAAUUCAUGCCAAACAUAAGCUAUAAGCAAGAAACAUAAUACACCGUGCAACUAAUUUUUUUUUUCAUCUGCUACCAAUGGUAAACAAUGUUCCUACUGGAUUUUGAGUGUAAUGUCAUAAUAUGGGUCAAUCAGUGACAUUUCAAGCAAACAGGGUACCAACACAACAUGGGUGACCUCUCUGUUUCACAUGGCCAUGUAAAAAGACGCUUUGUCAUUUCAAUGGCAAGGGUGUGAAAAUGAGUAUAAGUACCUUUAGAAAGUAGAAAAUCAU